GCUGGCGGCACGCCUUAUACAUGCAAGUCGAACGAAGUAGCAAUACUUAGUGGCAGACGGGUGAGUAACAUGUGGGUAUCUUCCCUUUGGUGAGGAAUAACACGAGGAAACUUGUGCUAAUACCUCAUAAGUCUUUACGGAGAAAGCUUUAUGCGCCAAUGGAUGAGCCCGCACUUGAUUAGUUUGUUGGUGGGGUAAUGGCCUACCAAGACUUUGAUCAAUAGCUGAUCUGAGAGGAUGAUCAGCCACAUUGGGACUGAGACACGGCCCAAACUCCUACGGGAGGCAGCAGUAGGGAAUAUUGCACAAUGGAGGAAACUCUGAUGCAGCGAUGCCGCGUGAGUGAAGAAGGCCUUUGGGUUGUAAAGCUCUUUCGUCGGGGAAGAAAAUGACUGUACCCGAAUAAGAAGGUCCGGCUAACUUCGUGCCAGCAGCCGCGGUAAUACGAAGGGACCUAGCGUAGUUCGGAAUUACUGGGCUUAAAGAGUUCGUAGGUGGUUAAAAAAGUUGGUUGUGAAAUCCCGGAGCUUAACUCCGGAACUGCAAUCAAAACUUUUUAGCUAGAGUAUGAUAGAGGAAAGCAGAAUUUCUAGUGUAGAGGUGAAAUUCGUAGAUAUUAGAAAGAAUACCAAUUGCGAAGGCAGCUUUCUGGAUCAUUACUGACGCUGAGGAACGAAAGCAUGGGUAGCGAAGAGGAUUAGAUACCCUCGUAGUCCAUGCCGUAAACGAUGUGUGUUAGACGUUGGAAAUUUAUUUUUAGUGUCGCAGCGAAAGCAGUAAACACACCGCCUGGGGAGUACGACCGC
rnacentral:rRNA from 1 species